GCCACAUGAUGUGAACUAGAUUGCAAUAGCACUACAGCAAAGAUGACCAGUUAUCUAUCACCCUUGACUGAUGUCU